CGACCGAGUCAGAGAGGCACCGGUUGCGCUACUC
rnacentral:rRNA from 1 species